ensembl:snoRNA
AUCCUUUGUAAUUCAUAAGCAUGAUGAUUGGGUGUUCACACCAUUGUGUGACAUGUGCCUCCCUCAAAACUGGUUAACGCCUCAUCCCAUUAGCCAUCUGAUA